ensembl:lincRNA
UGGGUCCUGACACACUGGGGUGCUUUCAGUGGAUUAGAAGUAGGCACGGAUUAUUGAUCUUUUUAGUGUUUGGGGCAAUCAGGUAGGGUUUAGGAGAGCCAGAGCUCCCAAGCUAGUUGUCACCAGCUGCUGGUGGCUGAGGUAGGUUUUUUUGUUUUUUUUUUGGUGGCGCUUCGGGAUUGUUUGGGGUGUUCGCUCUUCGGCGACUUGGAGGCGAAUGGAACGCGCAGGCGCCAUCUGUCGGCCACGAACCCGCGCUCAGCUCCUGUUGGGAGGGAGCGGCAUCUAGCGGUAGAGAGCUGGCACUGCAACGCUUGUCUCCCAGCGUCCUCCUCCCUAUCACCGACCAAUCGUGGCCGACUGCCUCCCGGGUUCAGCGUCUCCGACGCCGUCUGCGAACGAGGCGCCCGCAGGGGCGCGCCGCCGAGUGGGGUAAACAAGGUGCCGUGCCCGCGCCUGACUUACUCAUUCGUUUGGCAGCGCUUCCGCCGCGGACCGAAGUGGGCCGCGUUUCCUCUUUCUUUAAUGGGUGGGGGGGCCCGAGGGUCGAAAGGAGGUCGUUAGGGAUGUCCGGCAGAGCCCCGGACCGUGGGAAAUCGGAAACCGGGCUCGCUCGGGACUCGUCCCCCGGGCCCUUGCGCCCCGCGCGCAGCCCGAGGUUGGCAGCCCAGUCCGGCUUCACCCUUCCCUGUCCCCUCCUCUGACACGCCCCAGCGAGGGGCCUUCCGUCCUAGUUCCCAGACCCUCGCUUCCCCGCGGUCCCUACUCCUUACCACCAAAACAGCUCUACUCGCGGAACUCUGGCACCUGAUCUUAAGUGAUUUAGGAGGGUUGCUAUUUGAGUUUCUGUUUUGUUUUGUUUGCCUUCUGCUUCGGCUGUGGAGGGAAAUCAAGCCGAUUCUCUACUAGGAAGACUUGACACUGGAGAAAAAAAUUUUUGUUUUUUUGUUUUUUUUACAGCCCACUAUGCCUGUCUCCCGGAAAACGUGGUCUUUCUCUCGAGGGUCUAGGAGACUUAAGGAACUGGGGCUACGAGCGUAGGCCGGGCGCUCGACCAAUUUAUUGACUGCUGGGGCGGGGGUGGGGGGGGGGAGAAACAGGACGGAGCAAAGUGGAGGGAAUUCGAAAUUUGGGCUGAAGAAGUCGAGGGGUACCUACCCCGUUUUCCCCCGCCUUCCUCGAUUAUCCACCGUGUUCCUGGAAACGUGCGACCCGGCGGCCUUGCGACUUUGUUAAGAAUUUUGGCUCCUUCUUAUCCUGCUUCUUCACCCCUCCUCCAAGGUGAAGUGCAAAAGGACCCCUUGCGCUCCUUUGACCCCCAGUUAACGCAAGUCUUUAUCACCCUUUUUAUUUUUUUUGUUUGUUUUGAAUCCAGCCUCCCGGACCUUUGACCACCGAGCGCUCUCUACCCGGGGGAGAAAAAAACUCGGGGAGGGCCUGUCCCCUCCGAAGCGCCGCUUCUCCUAGGACAGGAAGAAGUGACCUAUUACAGUGUCUCCAUUGCUGUUAAAGAAGUUCUCGGAUUCAUACAAUAGUGUAUAGCUAAGAGCUCUUAGUUCCUCUUUUCUUUUUAAAAAAUUUUUGGUUUGAAUAUUCCUUUAAUAUUACUUUUUAAUUAGAAGAAAAGGAAUAAAUAUAUUUAAUAACAAGACAAAUUUUCUAAAUGAGGAGAAACGAAAGACCCUUGUGAAUCGUGGAGAUUUCAGCCGGUAUCACCUCUAAAGCAUUCCUAAUGCAAUAUAAUGAUUAAUCUCAGCCCUCAAAUUAUAUUCCACACUUGUUUUAGUUUCCCAUUCUCUGUGCUCACUGUUUUUUUCCUGCAACUUUAAAAAAGAGUUAUGGUAUAUUUAAUCAACUGAACAAUAAAAGUUAAACAGAAACAUCUAAAUAUCAAUAACAAAUAAAAUCCGAGACAUUUCUACUUACCUCUAAAGCUUUCGGGAGUGGAAUACUAUUCAAAAUAAAUUUCCAUUUCUUUUAUAGACCAUCUUUGGUAGAAUGUUAUACAGUUUUUAAUAGAUUCAAGUUACAGAAUGAUGCAGCUAGAACAUUAAAUAGGGAGUAGUGGAAAAUUUACAGUUAUAUAAGUUAAUGCAAAAUUCCACUUAAAGUAAUAGAAAAAUUGGGCUUUGUACCAAAUCAUUUUACAUUAAUUUAGUUCAGUUGUGCCAAUUUAAUAUCAAUUGAUAUUCAAUGAUUUCCUGUCUUAGUAUUAGCUGAAAACUACUGAUUUUCUGCUCCAAACAUCACAUUAUAUAGUAUGUGGUACAAACAGUAUUGCAUCUAUCUUAUAAAUUCACAUUCUUGUCUGAUUGUGUAGCAGCUAAUUUUAUACUUUGAAAAAUUAAACAAUUUUAUACAAUUUUAUACUUUGAAAAGUUCCUCUUUAGUAAACUUAUUUUCAUCUUGUGAAAAAUACCAUAGAAGAAAAUUAAUAACUAACUGGUGUAACAUCAGAAAAAAAUUAUAGCAAAUUUAUACUGAUAUUUAAGUAUGUUUCACAGUAGCCUCUCUUUCUAGAGCUUAUUCACAGGAAUAUUUAUUAAGCCUUCGGUGUGUGCAGAGCACAGUACUAUGUGCCCUAGUUCUAUCCGAAGAAGUGAAAUUUAUUUCAUAGGGUCCUGAAAGACAGAAGAGUAAACCUUGGGAAUUUGAGGACAAAAUGAGAAAAUGCCAUCAAAUGAAAUACGUAACUAACAGAAAAUAAGCUUUAAUCUAAUUAUUUUGUAACCUAUCUGUCAUGGAAAAAAAUCGUCAUAUUGUAAUGACAGGGUGGCUCAGUGGGUUAAGCCUCUGCCUUUGGCUCAGGUCAUGAUCUCAUGAUCUCAGGGUCCUGGAAUCGAGCCUUGCAUUGGGCUCUCUGAGAGCCUGCUUCCCCCUCU